GCGGGUAUUGUUUAGUGGUAGGACAUCUCGUUGCCAACGAGAAGGUGGCGGUUCGAUUCCGCCUACCCGCACCA
rnacentral:tRNA from 1 species